rnacentral:lncRNA from 1 species
UCUCUUGAUAUGAAUUUCUCCGUAAUUCGAGGGCCGUGGGUAGCAUAUUUUUCGAAUGUAGGCAUAUUUGAAUUUGAUAUGAAUUUCUCCAUAAUUCGAGGGUCGUUAGUGGCGUAUUUCUUGAACAUAGGUAUAUUUGAAUUUGAUAUGGAUUUCUCUGUAAUUCGAGGACCGUUAGAGGCGUAUUGACCGUUAGAGGCAUAUUUCUUUAACAUAGGAAUAUUUGGAUUUGAAUGGAGGGAUCUUCUUGAUGUAUUUGAUUAUCAACAAGAGAAUAUUUGCACCUUUAAAUAGGUGUAAUCUAGGAGGGAUAUGUAUUUGAUUAUCAAGAAGAUAGAGUUUUGAUCUCUAUAUGAAUAUCUCACGAAUUUCUGAG